AUACGAAAGGUGCAAGCGUUGUGCGGAUUUACUGGGCGUAAAGAGAGUGUAAGUUGUUUAUUAAGUCGGAUGUGAAAUCCCGGGGCUCAACCUCGGAACUGCAUUCGAUACUGGUAGACUAGAGUUCGGGAGGGGUAAGCGGAAUUCCGUGUGUAGCAGUGAAAUGCGUAGAUAUACGGAGGAACACCUGAGGCGAAGGCGGCUUACUGGACCGAUACUGACACUGAGACUCGAAAGCGUGGGUAGCAAACAGGAUUAGAAACCCGUGUAGUCC
rnacentral:rRNA from 1 species